rnacentral:rRNA from 1 species
GACGAACGCUGGCGGCGUGCCUAAUACAUGCAAGUAGAACGCAGUUGCGAACGGGUGAGUAACGCGUAGGUAACUGCCUCAUAGCGGGGGGUAACUAUUGGAAACGAUAGCUAAUACCGCAUACUGUGAGAUGGACCUGCGUUGUGUUAGCUAGUUGGUGGGGGAAAGGCCCACCAAGGCGACGAUACAUAGCCGACCCGUGAGGGGGAGUGGCCACCAUGGGACUUGAAAACGGGCCAGAACCCCUCGGGAGGCAGCCGUAGGGAAUCUUCGGCAAUUGACGGAAGGCUGACCGAGCAACUCCGGGUGAGUGAAGAAGGUUUUUCGAUUGUAAAGCUAUGUUGUGUGGGAAGCGGUAACUAACCAGAAAGCGACGGCUAACUACGUGCCAGCCGCCGCGGUAAUAC